UACGUAGGGGGCAAGCGUUGUCCGGAUUUACUGGGCGUAAAGCGCCUGUAGGCGGCCUGUCAGGUCCGGCCUGGAAGCCCCCCGCUCAACGGGGGAGGGUGGCUGGAAACUGGCAGGCUUGAGGGCGAGAGGGGAGGGUGGAAUUCCUGGUGUAGCGGUGAAAUGCGUAGAGAUCAGGAGGAACACCCGUGGCGAAGGCGGCCCUCUGGCUCGACCCUGACGCUGAGGCGCGAAGGCGUGGGGAGCGAACGGG
rnacentral:rRNA from 1 species